ensembl:rRNA 5S_rRNA 5S ribosomal RNA
ACUGACACCACCCUGAAAGUGCCCAAUCUCCUCAAAUCUUGCAAGCAAAAUAGGGUCAGGUCUGGUUAGAAUUUGGAUGGGAGUUCCAUCUUCUCUUCUAAGAUUUGAUGUAACUCAGAC